rnacentral:rRNA from 1 species
UUUGAUCACCAAUAAAAGGUCCAGCCUGCCCAGUGACUUUGUUCAACGGCCGCGGUAUCCUAACCGUGCGAAGGUAGCGUAAUCACUUGUUCUUUAAAUAAGGACUAGUAUGAACGGCAUCACGAGGGUUAUACUGUCUCCUCCCUUUAAUCAGUGAAACUGAUCUUCCCGUGAAGAAGCGGGAAUAAAUCUAUAAGACGAGAAGACCCUAUGGAGCUUUAAACACACUACAAUUGCCUCACUCUAUGUUAAUCUCUGGAAAACCACUUAUACGGGCACUUUGAUAGCAAGUUUUAGGUUGGGGUGACCGCGGAGCAAAAAACAACCUCCACAGCGAACAGGGCUUUCCCUUAAACUCAGGAUUACAACCCUAAGAAUCAACAAAUUGACACCCAUUGACCCAAUUUUUUGACCAACGAAC